rnacentral:lncRNA from 1 species
AUUACUUUCGUCUGUUUAUACGCGAACAUCGAAUAAAGUUCUAAGAAAGGGGUGUGACGGAUGAGAUCGUAUCGAGCACAAGAACAUAUAAUGUAUAAUUACUGUAUAAUAUAAAAAUAAGAUGUUGUAUGAUAGUCAAUGAGACCACAAAAACGAAAACAAUUUUUGGUCAGCGUACGGCCUUCAACAAUCAGCAAAAUCUAUAUUGCAUAUCAACCUAUAACGGGCAUUACUAAAGUAAAACAAUUUAAACUAGUAAACUAACAGUCCGAGUUAUGUACAAAAUCAUGAACACAACGUAACCACUAAAAAAAAAGACAGAAAACACAGAC